rnacentral:RNase_P_RNA from 1 species
UAGGAAAGUCCAAUACUUAUUAGGCAUAUACACUUGAAUAUAUAUAUAUAUUCAAUAAUUAUAAAAAUAUAAGGAUGUUAACAGAAACUAAAAUUAUAUAAAAUACUUAUAAGUAAUAAUAAAAUAAUAGCGAACAAGAAUCCUAUGUUAAGUUUUUAUUUAGAAUUAUUAAAGUUAAACAGAAACUGGCUUAA